rnacentral:tRNA from 1 species
GGGAGCUUAGCUCAGUUGGUAGAGCAGUUGACUGUUAAUCAAUUUGUCGGGGGUUCAAGUCCCUCAUCUCCCG